GAUUUAUUUAUUUAAUAAUGUGAAAACAGUUUAAAAAAACCCUUGCCGCACGCACUAGGAUUUCUGGAUCUCUCAAUCGCUCUACUUACGAUCAUUCGCAACUAGCACAGUAGACGGAAGAGUUGUUCGUGUGAAUUGAGUAGAGGUGUUUGUGAUUCAUGCAUGCAACACUCGUGAUCAAACUCCUCGAUUCUUCAAGAGUCUGGCACUCUUUCAGGAUGGUAACUGGAACAGGAUGUUAAAUGAGCCCCUUCCUUAUUAUGCAGGCUCUUUACAAAAGUAGCGUUGAUGGAAAGCAUUAUGCAAUUAAGUCCUUUCACAAGUCUCACUUACGGAAGCUUCGAUUUGCUCCAUCUGAGACUGCCAUGACUCAUGUUCUACGUAAGGAACAAUGCAGACAUUAGACGCAAGGCAUAUAGAACUAUUCCUUUGUGAAGGCUACCAAAACGGGAGCUGGGAGUAUGAGGUUGUCGGAUCUCAUGAUGUCAAGAAACGAGCAUUGGAGGCACUCACAUGUUAACCAUACCAUCUUGGUUGUUGGUUUAUGAGUAUGUUAACAAUGGAAAUUUAGAGCAAUGGCUUCAUGGAGCCAUGCAGCAAUAUGACUUUCUUACAUGGGAUGCUCGGAUCAAAAUCCUUCUGGGAACAACUAAAGCGUACAAUUACAAUUCUUCUGUUGCAGGCUGGCUUACUUGCACGAAGGCUCACAAGUCGACAUUGGAGGCUGCCAUUCUCAAGUUCAAAACAUGAAACCAAUGAAAGGGGUGGAAUAUCUAAUAUCAAAUAAGUUGGUGGAAAACAAAUCUGCCUCUGUUGCUCAUAUGCCGACCUAAUGUGAUGAUGUUCUUAAUUAUAAGAACAUGGUGGUGUUGAGCGAGAUGAUGAGGUGUAUUAUGAAACAUACACAAUCUCUCUACAAUCCAUAGACGGUAGAUGCAAAGUCAGGAAAAAGAUUGAUGUCCCUGAAGGAUGUGCCCCUGGAGGAAUCUUCCAUAAUGUCUUUUUAAUAAGUAAAUAAUCACCAAACUAUUUGUUAACGGUCCUCCAUUGGAUGAAAUAUGUAAAUAAUUAAUCACCCUCUAUAAAAGCUCUCCUAAACAAUCUCACGAGAUAUUAUUUUUCAGGUGUUUCAUCAACUAAAUGGACAAUUGAACAUGAAGAACCAGUUGGGAAUGUGUUUAAAGCUAAUCAUCCUGAAGCUGGUGUUUAUCGACAAUUGCAAUGUUAUUUUUAGGUAAGUGGUCCCAAAAAUAUAUUUUUUGGCUUAAAGGGUUAAUUUAACGGAACACGAUGAAGUGACUCAAAUAAUUGUAACGCAGGGUUAUAAUGGAGAAAUGUGGGAACGUAGAGACUGUAUCUCAACGAUCGAAGCUACAGAAUUGGCCUUUGCAAGUUGAUUUACAUAUUAUCAAGGUCAGAGACUAAUUCAGUAGCUUCGGUCGUAGAGAUACAGUCUCCUAUGUUUCCACAUUUCUCCAUUAUAGCCCUGUGUUACAAUCAUUUGAGUCACUCCAUUGUGUUCAAUUAAAUUAACCCUUUAGGCCUGAAAAUAUAUUUUUGGGAUCACUUACCUAAAAAUAACAUUGCAAUUGUCAAUAAACACCAACGCUUCAGGAUGAUUAGCUUUAAACGCAUUCCCAGCUGGUUCUUCAUAUUCAAUUGCCCAUUUAGUUGAUGAAACACCUGAAAAAUAAUAUCUCGUGAGAUUGUUUAGGAGAACUUAUAGAAACAACUUAUGAUAAGUCCAUAAGCAUUUGUGCUAAUUAAGUUGUAUAUACAAGCAAAGCCAUAGCAUACAAUUGUGUUUCUUUCUAAAAUAAGUGCAGUUAAGAUUACCUGACUGGUGCAGCCACCAUAUUUUUCA